GGCCAGCGCCUCCAUGCGUCUCGGGGGAGAACCCUAGCCACCACCCCUUCCCUUCCCUAACUCCUCCCUGUCUCGCCGCCGCCGCCGGAGGGCGUGCCGGGGCGAAGCUACGGCCAUCCCCAAGGAGGGCGACGACGGGGCACCUGGUUUGUGUCGGCUUGGCACGGGCGCGCGGCAAACGCUUGGUGCAGCAGCGUUGAGGCACGAACUACGUUGCCGCAGGAGGGUCGCCGACACGAGUUGCUGGCUUGCUGCCUGGCUUAACGAUGACGCGGGCAGGGCACCAUGGUGCUAUCUGACCCCCUGCCUUGCUUCCGCCGGAUGCGGGCUCUCUCCACUCCUCAUGCAUCCGCCGUGUUGGUCCAAGCAGAGGACGAAGUCCAGCCCUUGCCAACAAGCUCAUAAUGAUUUCAGAAGUACGGUCUAAUGGAAGGGUGGAGGAAGAUUUUUGAAAUGGCAAAGUCGUCAGCAAGGACAUGAGACAAGAGGUCUGACCGAACUACGUCAGUCAACUACGUCAGGUGCACCUUGACCUUCUGCCUGAGCAGAUGAACUAGCCACUGCCCUGGAUGUUGUGUCGUCCUCCAGUCCCGCUCUGCUGCUUCUGACCAAACACCUCAAACCAAGACUGAUUGCUCUAUUAUUGUGAUCGGUCAAUACAAUAUUGGUAUAUAUGUCUUGUAUAGUGCCCUUUUGCAUUAGUUUUCUUAUAUUUGCGGAGUGUGCAAAUGAGUUUCUUCUUACCUUUACUCAUUAAUAAUAGUAGUGAGCGAUUC